UACGGGGGGAGCAAGCGUUGUUCGGAUUUACUGGGCGUAAAGCGUGCGCAGGCGGUUUUGUAAGUCUGUCGUGAAAUCCCCGGGCUUAACCUGGGAAUGGCGAUGGAGACUGCAAGGCUAGAGUUUGGCAGAGGGGGGGUAGAAUUCCACGUGUAGCAGUGAAAUGCGUAGAGAUGUGGAGGAACACCGAUGGCGAAGGCAGCCCCCUGGGUCAAGACUGACGCUCAUGCACGAAAGCGUGGGGAGCAAACAGGAUUGAGAA
rnacentral:rRNA from 1 species